UACGGGGGGGGCAAGCGUUGUUCGGAGUUACUGGGCGUAAAGGGCGCGUAGGCGGUCGUGACAAGUCACUUGUGAAAUCUCCGGGCUUAACUCGGAACGGUCAAGUGAUACUGCCGGACUAGAGUACAGAAGGGGCAACUGGAAUUCUCGGUGUAGCGGUGAAAUGCGUAGAUAUCGAGAGGAACACCUGCGGCGAAGGUGGGUUGCUGGGCUGAUACUGACGCUCAGGCGCGAAAGCCAGGGGAGCGAACGGG
rnacentral:rRNA from 1 species